rnacentral:rRNA from 1 species
GACGAACGCUGGCGGCGUGGAUUAGGCAUGCAAGUCGAACGGUAGGAUACCUUCGGGUAUCUGAGAGUGGCGAACGGGUGAGUAACACGUAGGUGAUCUACCCUCAAGAUUGGGACAACCCAGGGAAACUUGGGCUAAUACCGGAUGAAAGCAGCAGUGAUGUUGUUUGAAAGGUGGCGUAAGCUGCCGUUUGGGGAUGAGCCUGCGCUCUAUUAGUUAGUUGGCGGGGUAAAGGCCCACAAGGCGAUGAUAGAUAGGCGGCCUUAACGGGUGGUCGCCCACACUGGGAUUGAGAUACGGCCCAGACUCCUACGGGAGGCAGCAGUCGAGAAUAGUCUACAAUGGUCGGAAGACUGAUAGUGCGACGCCGCGUGAACGAUGAAAUCCCUUCGGGGUGUAAAGUUCUUUUAUAUGUGAGCAGUGCUUCUUAUAUUAACAGUAUGGGGAAGAGAUAUAGCAUAUGAAUAAGCAACGGCUAACUCCGUGCCAGCAGCCCG